AUUGAACGCUGGCGGCAGGCCUAACACAUGCAAGUCGAGCGGAUGAAGGGUGCUUGCACCCCGAUUCAGCGGCGGACGGGUGAGUAAUGCCUAGGAAUCUGCCCGAUAGUGGGGGACAACGUUUCGAAAGGAACGCUAAUACCGCAUACGUCCUACGGGAGAAAGUGGGGGCUCUUCGGACCUCACGCUAUCGGAUGAGCCUAGGUCGGAUUAGCUAGUUGGUGGGGUAAAGGCUCACCAAGGCGACGAUCCGUAACUGGUCUGAGAGGAUGAUCAGUCACACUGGAACUGAGACACGGUCCAGACUCCUACGGGAGGCAGCAGUGGGGAAUAUUGGACAAUGGGCGAAAGCCUGACGAAGCAACGCCGCGUGGAGGAUGAAGGCCUUCGGGUCGUAAACUCCUGUCGACCGGGAAGAAUGCACCUGACCUAAUACGUCGGCGUGUUGACUGUACCGGUGGAGGAAGCCACGGCUAACUCUGUGCCAGCAGCCGCGGUAACAC
rnacentral:rRNA from 1 species